rnacentral:lncRNA from 1 species
UUCCUUCAGUUCCUACUUCCCCGACGCCAAUUCCUCAACCACCUUCAGUGUCUCCUCCUCCUCCAACUCCUGAACAACCGUCUCCAAUUCCUCAACCACCUCCAACUCCUGGACCACCAUCUCCAAUUUCAGUUUCUCCUUCGCCGUCUCCAAUUCCUCAACCACCUCCAACUCCUGCACAACCAUCUCCAAUUUCAGUUUCUCCUUCUCCGUCUCCAAUUAUUCAACCACCUCCAACUCCUGAACAACCAUCUCCAGCGCCUCAACCAUCUCCUGACCAGCCACCAUCAUCUCCUCCUCCGACUCCUGGACCACCAUCUCCAAUUUCAGUUUCUCCUUCCCCGUCUCCAAUUCCUCAACCAUCUCCAAUUUCAGUUUCUCCUUCGCCGUCUCCAAUUCCUCAACCACCUCCAACUCCCGAACAACCAUCUCCAAUUUCAGUUUCUCCUUCCCCAUCUCCAAUUCCUCAACCACCUCCAACUCCUGAACAACCAUCUCCAGCGCCUCAACCAUCUCCUGACCAGCCACCAUCGUCUCCUCCUCCGACUCCAAAUCCUUUAGUUCCUCCACCACC